UACGUAGGUGGCAAGCGUUGUUCGGAAUUAUUGGGCGUAAAGGGCGCGUAGGCGGCAUGUUAAGUCGGCUGUGAAAGCCUGGGGCUCAACCCCAGAGGGUCGGCCGAUACUGGCAAGCUAGAGUACGGAAGAGGUAGCUGGAAUUCCCGGUGUAGCGGUGAAAUGCGUAGAUAUCAGGAAGAACACCCGUGGCGAAGGCGGUUCUCUGGGACGGUACUGACGCUGAGACGCGAAAGCGUGGGGAGCGAACAGG
rnacentral:rRNA from 1 species